rnacentral:rRNA from 1 species
GCGCAUGGGGGAACCCUGCCGCAGCACGCCGCGUGGGUGAUGAAGGUCUUCGGAUUGUAAAGCCCUGUUUUCUGGGACGAUAAUGACGGUACCAGAGGAGGAAGCCACGGCUAACUACGUGCCAGCAGCCGCGGUAAUACGUAGGUGGCGAGCGUUGUCCGGAUUUACUGGGCGUAAAGGGUGCGUAGGCGGAUGUUUAAGUGGGAUGUGAAAUCCCCGGGCUUAACCUGGGGGCUGCAUUCCAAACUGGAUAUCUAGAGUGCAGGAGAGGAAAGCGGAAUUCCUAGUGUAGCGGUGAAAUGCGUAGAGAUUAGGAAGAACACCAGUGGCGAAGGCGGCUUUCUGGACUGUAACUGACGCUGAGGCACGAAAGCGUGGGUAGCAAACAGGAUUAGAUACCCUGGUAGUCCACGCCGUAAACGAUGGAUACUAGGUGUAGGGGGUAUCAACUCCCUCUGUGCCGCAGUUAACACAAUAAGUAUCCCGCCUGGGGAGUACGGUCGCAAGAUUAAAACUCAAAGGAAUUGACGGGGGCCCGCACAAGCAGCGGAGCAUGUGGUUUAAUUCGAAGCAACGCGAAGAACCUUACCUGGACUUGACAUCCCUUGCAUAGCCUAGAGAUAGGUGAAGCCCUUCGGGGCAAGGAAACAGGUGGUGCAUGGUUGUCGUCAGCUCGUGUCGUGAGAUGUUAGGUUAAGUCCUGCAACGAGCGCAACCCUUGUUAUUAGUUGCUACCAUUAAGUUGAGCACUCUAAUGAGACUGCCUGGGUUACCAGGAGGAAG